rnacentral:rRNA from 1 species
GGAAGUAAAAGUCGUAACAAGGUUUUCGUAGGUGAACCUGCAAAACGAUCAUUG